rnacentral:precursor_RNA from 8 species
AUCCUGGGAUUUCACUGAGCGGUUGUGCAUCGGGUGGAAGCGCUGUCUGCACCGGAUAUCCGGAUUGUAUCCGUCCGUUGAGACAGUGUGUCCUCCCUCUGGACGCCGUUCACUCUCAGCAUAGUCAUCU